AUACUUAUUCAGCUUCUGACAGUU
rnacentral:miRNA from 1 species